GUGGGGAAUAUUGGACAAUGGGCGCAAGCCUGAUCCAGCCAUGCCGCGUGAGUGAUGAAGGCCUUAGGGUUGUAAAGCUCUUUCAGUGGGGACGAUAAUGACGGUACCCACAGAAGAAGCCCCGGCUAACUUCGUGCCAGCAGCCGCGGUAAUACGAAGGGGGCUAGCGUUGUUCGGAUUUACUGGGCGUAAAGCGCACGUAGGCGGAUCGUUAAGUCGGGGGUGAAAUCCUGGAGCUCAACUCCAGAACUGCCUUCGAUACUGGCGAUCUUGAGUCCGGAAGAGGUGAGUGGAACUCCUAGUGUAGAGGUGGAAUUCGUAGAUAUUAGGAAGAACACCAGUGGCGAAGGCGGCUCACUGGUCCGGUACUGACGCUGAGGUGCGAAAGCGUGGGGAUCAAACAGGAUUAGAUACCCCAGUAGUCC
rnacentral:rRNA from 1 species